CUCUUCGGAGGGAGCGGCGGACGGGUUAGUAACGCGUGGGAAUGUACCCUUCUCUAAGGAAUAGCCAUUGGAAACGAUGAGUAAUACCUUAUACGCCCCCCGGGUCAAACUGGGGGGGAAAGAUUUAUCGGAGAGGGAUCAGCCCGCGUAAGAUUAGAUAGUUGGUGGGGUAAUGGCCUACCAAGUCUACGAUCUUUAGCUGGUUUUAGAGGAUGAUCAGCAACACUGGGACUGAGACACGGCCCAGACUCCUACGGGAGGCAGCAGUGGGGAAUCUUGGACAAUGGGCGCAAGCCUGAUCCAGCCAUGCCGCGUGAGUGAUGAAGGCCUUAGGGUCGUAAAGCUCUUUCGCCAGAGAUGAUAAUGACAGUAUCUGGUAAAGAAGUCCCGGCUAACUCCGUG
rnacentral:rRNA from 1 species